rnacentral:miRNA from 1 species
CAAUGCCCCUUCAGUGCAGCC